rnacentral:rRNA from 1 species
UACGUAGGUCGCAAGCGUUGUCCGGAUUUACUGGGCGUAAAGAGCGCGCAGGCGGCUGGUCAAGUCCGAUGUGAAAUCUCCCUGCUUAACUGGGAAACUGCAUCGGAAACUGAUCGGCUUGAAGGUGGGAGAGGGUAGUGGAAUUCCCGGUGUAGUGGUGAAAUGCGUAGAUAUCGGGAAGAACACCAGUGGCGAAGGCGCUCUACUGGGCCACAACUGACGCUGAGGGACGAAAGCUAGGGGAGCGAAAGGG